UUCCGUACCGGGUUAUGGGAGACACCAUCAAGAAGGUGGUUUGCCCAAAGUGAGGCCCAGCCACUGCACUCAGGCUGUGCUGACCUUUUGCGAAUUCCUCAAAUGCAGGAGUCUCGAUCGCAUAAUUUUUGAUAGUGGGGACUGCAUUCGCGCUCUCCCCUU